GGGGGGGAGCGAGCGUUGUUCGGGAAUCACUGGGCGUAAAGGGUGCGUAGGCGGUUUGGUAAGUGAGAUGUGAAAGCCCCCCGGGCUCACCCGGGGGAAGGGUCAUUUCAUACUGCUGAACUUGAGUGCGGAAGAGGAUGAGGGAAUUCCUGGUGUAGCGGUGAAAUGCGUAGAUAUCAGGAGGAACACCGGUGGCGAAGGCGCUCAUCUGGUCCGUUACUGACGCUGAUGCACGAAAGCUAGGGGAGCGAACGGGAUUAGAUACCCCGGUAGUCCUAGCCGUAAACGGUGAGCACUAGGUGUAGGAGGCAUCGACCCUUCCUGUGCCGUCGCUAACGCAUUAAGUGCUCCGCCUGGGGAGUACGGCCGCAAAGGCUG
rnacentral:rRNA from 1 species